CUUAGGGGAGUCUGUAGCAUGUCUCGAUGUAUACAUCACUUUUCAUGUACAAAAAUGUAAAUGUAAAGUCUGUUGUCCUCAGGACAAAAUCGUAAGAUAAACAUGAAAGGUGCUUUUGGCGUUCUGACAUCUACAACUUACCCAUAUGCAGAGCAGACAGUUUCGACACUGCAGCGAGUAGAACUGGUUCAUCAGAAGUCAUAUUUUUUAUGAAAAUGAUUAGUUUUAGAGAACUCCGAAAACAAACCGUUUGUAGAAUUCAGUAGACUAAUUACAACAUUCUCAAAGUCGCGCCUAUAAAGCAAAUAAGAUUCGAUGUCACGCAGCAUUGCGCUGACCGAUCAGCCUAUGACAUCACAGUACCGCGAGAGCGAAUAAAAGCUGUUCUGAGAUUUAGGACCGGUCUCGCGGGAUUAUGACAUUUAAAUCGGUCUGCGCAUCGUUGCAUGAUCUCGACUGCUGGUAUUUCAGGAAAAACCGGAUCGGAUCAAGAACCGGAACACAGCAACAAGUAUUAUUUGUAAGACUACACUGAGACACGAGUGAAAUUGCAGGAUAUCUGAGCUAGGAAUGAAAACAAAUUAUUAUUACGAGUUAUUUUUCGUGAAGUAAUUUUAUUCUGUAGCCUAUUUAAUUUUAAGCGCUGCUUAUAUUGAAAACCACUGUUAAGAAAAAGUGAUAUACAAAACAAAAGCAUUUGUACCAUACUUUUCUGUCUUUAUUUAAGAAUGAUUUAAAUGGAAGUCCAUUCCUCAGUUUGGGUGACAUGAAAUGACAAAAAUCCUCAGAAGGAAUCUAUUUCCAUCCGAAAGGACACCGUUACAACUUUUUAACAGAAUGGUUCUGUAUGCAAAGACACUGGUGGUCCUCUGCAUGCUCAUUGGAUGCUUACAGGCUUUUCCCUCUCGUAUCAGCACAGAAGAUCAAAAAGAUGAUGGGAGUUUUGAGAGAAUAAGACGAGAAACACGUGUCUUGGAUGUUACUCCACCAGUGUGUCGUCUGUUAAAUGACAGUUUGUAUUGUCCAAUUCCUUGUGGAAAUGCCACUUGGGAAGCGAAGUAUAUCAUGUCAGAUGGCAAUGGUUCGGGAAUUGAUCAUCCGUCUUUUGUCACCACUGGUUCUGGUGAGCUUAAUGUGACAAUUAAUACAACUAUUGAUGAAAAUGGAUACAAUGCAACUCUUGUGACAUACAGUGGCUCCUGCUGCCUCAAUGAUGUGGAAAUUUCUGUGACUGACAAGGCAGGAUACAAAGUAAAAUGCCCAUUUAAUAUGCGUUACCCUUUAACUACACCUAUACCAAUGACUACACCUAUACCAAUGACUACAUCCAGUAGCCCCACCUUAACUAUCUGUACUGGGUCGAGUUUGAUACUGUUAACAAUUAAGGCUAUGCUUUUCUGAGAUACAUGCUCAACACAUUCAAUCAAAUAAUGCACUUACUUAGUUUUUAUUAUUUUAUAUUGUUUAUUUUUAUUGUUGUAAAUGUGUAGCUUGGAGAAAAAUCUCCCACCAUAGUUUAACUAUAUGCUAAGUGACCACUUAAGACUGGUUUUUUCACACAUGUAUAUUUAUUGCCAACAAUAUUGUAUAGGUCAAAAUGAUACUUUUUUGUGCAAAAAAAUCAUUAGAAUUUUAAGUAAAGAUCAAUUUCUGUAAAGAUAUUUUGUACAUUUACUACUGUAAAUAUAUAUAUAUAUAAAAAAUUAGUAGAUGCAGUUGCUAAGGACUUUAUUUGGACAACUUUAAGGCAAGUUUCUUAAUGUUUUGAUGUUUUGCACACCUAGAUUCGAGAUUUUCAAAUUGUGCUUAACAAACCAUACAUCAAUGGAAAGUUACUUAUAAAAUGAAGUUGGCUUUUUUCAACUAUAUUUUAUAAGUUAUAACAACUCAUCUGUAGUAAUAAUAAGUCAUCUAUAGUCAAGAUGAGUAAUAGUUAGUUGAAAUUACUUAAUUAACUGUUAAUCUGAGUUGUUUUAACAAAAAAUUGAGGCAGCAAAGAAUUUUUACAGCGCAAAUCCAUAAAAAAAUUACCUUUAUGACUGGUUUUGUGGUCCAGGCCAGGGUUACAUAAAAAUCUGACUGAUAUUUUACUGCAUUUUAUUUGCUGCAUAUUAUUGUUGCUUUAUUUAUUUGAAAUUUUUAAUAUUAACUUUAUGAAGUGUCAAGUUGCGUAAUUAACAGGUUAUAAAUGAACAAUAAAAGUUCAUUUACAAUUCUUUAGUUUAAGUGUUAAGUCAUAAAAUGGUUAUGAUGAAGUAUUAUUGUGACAUUAUUUGAAAGAUUAUUAUAGUACUCAGAUCCUAAAGCUAUUUCUUUAAAGAUGUGGAACACAGUGAACACUUAAUGUAUGCUGUAACAUUUUUAUGUCAAAACUGACAAGGCUUUACAAAAAUCUAAUAAUUUAAUAAAAGGUACAUGGGAAAAUGUUUUUUCCCAAUGGAAACUAAAAAUGUAAACACCACUUUCUGCUUAAGAGAUAUCAAUUGGUGUUAGAUUUAUUUACUGUUUGUACGAUUUUGCAGGAAUUUUCUACAGCUCAUUGUAAUUUCUGAAUAUCCAUAUGUAACAAGAUUCAUAACCAAAGCAUUUUUUUAAAGAACAUGAGAUAAAUAAAAGU